GGACGAACGCUGGCGGCGUGCUUAACACAUGCAAGUCGAGCGGUAAGGCCCGUUUCGGGGGUACACGAGCGGCGAACGGGUGAGUAACACGUGGGUGACCUGCCCUCAGUUCUGGGAUAAGCCUGGGAACCGGGUCUAAUACUGGAUAUGACCUCAUGACGCAUGUUGUGGGGUGGAAAGCCUUGUGCGACUGAGGAUGGGCCCGCGGCCUAUCAGCUUGUUGGUGGGGUGAUGGCCUACCAAGGCGACGACGGGUAGCCGGCCUGAGAGGGCGACCGGCCACACUGGGACUGAGACACGGCCCAGACUCC
rnacentral:rRNA from 1 species